AGAAGGCAAAGGGGCACGAUUAACUCUUACAGGAGCUCUGCUGGUGUCAUCCUAGCAGUAGAUAUUUGUCUACGUGCGGUAUUUCUCCGUUGAUAAUUGCCCGCUCCCAUCUGUUUCCCCACUAGCGAAGUGACCCUUCCAAAUUGGCUGUUGCGUGCUUGCUGUAAAAGCCAUUACUGGGGAAUAUCCAGCCUGGUUUUAAGUAGGGAGAGGAGAGCUUGGAAAAGAACUUGAUUCCAGUGCUCUGCAUACAGCAGAAGCUAUCCUACCAGCCCUUUGCCAAAUGGACUUCUGUUUUUCUGAAGCACACAACAGUUGGAAUGAAGUUGGAAAGGAUAUUUGGAUUCCAAAGCCUGGAAUGCCUUGCUUCUGCUACUGUACAGUGGAAGCAGCUGCAUUUUGGAAUAUGGCCUUUCCUCAGGCAUGUACGUACACUCAGAUGUCUCAGAACAGCUAUUUUUGAGAGAGAGGUCUGCUCAAUAAGCUUCUGUGGAAACUUUGGAUGCAUUGGUGCUUAUAGGACCAGGAGAAGAACAGGGUCCAGGAUGAAUGUGGACAUGUACUUAAGAGCUUUGCUGAAUUUGAUGUCAUAUCAUCUAUGGCCAAAUAAAAUACAACAGGGCCAAGGAAAGAAGGAUAAUGGAAAUGUCAGAAAUGUAAAGCUGGAAGGAACCUCAAGACAUCUUCAAGUUCCUACCUGAGGCAGCACAAUAUAUAUCCAGAUAUCUAGACUCCCUCAGGUGGUUAUCGCUGUCUUGUCAAAGAACCUGGACAGACAGGUGAUGGAAAAGUUUAAUGUGACUUGAAAAAAGCAAUGAAUUAAGCAAUGGGAUAAAGCUACUGAAAAAAAAAAAAAAAAAGAGAGAGAAGAUCCUUCAAGAUAUACCAUAGAAGGCAAGGAAAAGAAAAAUGUGUCCAAGGGGGAAGAAGAAUUUAAAACAAUGGAAAAUCAGGCAUCUGUGUUAAAUCAAAACUUGAAGAAACUGCACAUAAGGAAUUGAUUCUCUGUUGCUGCAAGAAGCUGUUCAGGAGAAACUAGGGUUUAGAAGGACAGCCAUCGCCCUUGCCCUCAGGGGAAUAUGCUAGGAGAGAGGCAGAAUGCAGAAUGUUUCCUAUAUACUUUAUCAGCAAUGCUGGUUGCUCUUAUUUAUUUUUGUCAAAUUGUUCUUUAUUUCAG
rnacentral:lncRNA from 1 species